rnacentral:rRNA from 1 species
GUGGGGAAUAUUGGACAAUGGGCGAAAGCCUGAUCCAGCCAUGCCGCGUGUGUGAAGAAGGUCUUCGGAUUGUAAAGCACUUUAAGUUGGGAGGAAGGGCAGUAAGUUAAUACCUUGCUGUUUUGACGUUACCGACAGAAUAAGCACCGGCUAACUCUGUGCCAGCAGCCGCGGUAAUACAGAGGGUGCAAGCGUUAAUCGGAAUUACUGGGCGUAAAGCGCGCGUAGGUGGUUCGUUAAGUUGGAUGUGAAAGCCCCGGGCUCAACCUGGGAACUGCAUCCAAAACUGGCGAGCUAGAGUACGGUAGAGGGUGGUGGAAUUUCCUGUGUAGCGGUGAAAUGCGUAGAUAUAGGAAGGAACACCAGUGGCGAAGGCGACCACCUGGACUGAUACUGACACUGAGGUGCGAAAGCGUGGGGAGCAAACAGGAUUAGAUACCCCAGUAGUCC